ensembl:lncRNA
AGGGCCCUCUCUUCCUUUGGGGCCCUGGUAAUCAGUAUUGGUUUUACCCACAGUCCGACGCCCCUGGGUGGAAGGGAAUUACAGUAGCCUAAGUUCCGCUCGCUGUGAAGCGGAAGAAUUUCAUUUGCAAAUAAGGGACAAACUGCGUUCCGUAGGCUAUAGCUUUCAUACGGGAUGCUUCUUUGAUGACUUAAAUACGGGACGAUUCCGUAUUAUCCGGAACAGCUGGCAACCCUGCGAGUGAGGCUGCGAGAAAAUAAUAAAUAAAAAGAGUGGGGCUGCUGUGAGUGGAUGCAGCACAACCCCAGUGCCAUGACAACACCGGCCCUCGCAGCCAAAAAUAAUAGACUGGCCCACCGGGAAUACUCCCGGUCCUCCUGAUUAGCCAAUCCGGGUUUGGCGCUUCUGUGUUAUGCUGUGGUUUUUGUGACGUGAAAUGGAAAGUAUUUUUAACCAGACAUUUCUCACUCCGUUUGUUAAGUCUGACGUCACCACUUCCGUGUCCAAAUCAGAUAUCACAAGAAAACAACAAAAGGUCACACUGAACAGCAGAUUGUUGUCUCAAGCCAGUGCUGAUCAAUGACAGUUUAGCUGCAGUAUGUCAGAGAAGAGAGGAAAGAUGAGUCUCUCACAGAAACAGAGGUAAGACUGAGUCUGUUUUCAGAGAAUCAUUUUAAACACUGCUGCAGUUUCAGAGGUUUGCUGGAAAAAAACAAAUUCUUAGCAAACUUUGUUUUAUAUUUACAAAUGAUUUGCAGAACUUCAGAGCUUUCUAAUUAAAAAUAAUAUUUAUAUUUAAAAAAGUAAGCAAUACAUGAUAAAUAUCUGAACUGAAAAUCAGAAUUGUAUUUUUAUAAUCACUCUUCAGCACUGGAUAUGGACUUAAGUAAAUUAUUUCACAUCAGUGAUUUUGUUUUUAGGUCCUAAAUUAUUUUUUUCAGACAUUAAAAAUGACUCCACACUUCAUUUAAAGGGUAAUAUGAUGCUUUGAAUAUUUUCAUUUUCCUAAGUGUGUAAUGUAUCUGUUUGUGUAAGAUCUUCAAAGUUACAAAGGUCACAGUCUCCUGCAAAGUGAUUUUUUUUUUCUAUCUAACCGAUAACACUGAUCCAGAAAUGAUUAAAAGGCCUUGACUGGAGUCCAGAUAUUAAUUUCACAAAUGUGUGCAUCACAGGGUUGCCAACUUUGGAACUUUGGUUGGAGUGAGACUGUAAAAAUUUCAGUUUGCGCGGUUGCGCGGAGAAAAUGUUUGGUAACCCUAAUUUUAAAAAUCAAUGUCAGUCCUUGAAUAUAAUGGAAACGCUUUUUCAAAAUGUACAAUUAAUUUAUUGAUUGCACUAUGAAAAAAUAAAGAUAAAGGUGAACAAAAUAAAGGUGAUUAC